rnacentral:rRNA from 1 species
UACGUAGGGUGCAAGCGUUGUCCGGAAUUACUGGGCGUAAAGCGCACGUAGGCGGCUCUGCAAGUUAGAGGUGAAAGCCCGGGGCUCAACUCCGGAAUUGCCUUUAAAACUGCAUCGCUAGAAUUGUGGAGAGGUGAGUGGAAUUCCGAGUGUAGAGGUGAAAUUCGUAGAUAUUCGGAAGAACACCAGUGGCGAAGGCGACUUACUGGACACAUAUUGACGCUGAGGUGCGAAAGCGUGGGGAGCAAACAGG